rnacentral:pre_miRNA from 1 species
AGCCUUCUAUAUCCCUGCUGAGAUUUCGUCACACACCAGACCACAAGGGCUAAUGAGACUCCUAAAAUACUACCAACG